rnacentral:rRNA from 1 species
UACGGAGGAUGCGAGCGUUAUCCGGAUUUAUUGGGUUUAAAGGGUGCGUAGGCGGUCCGUUAAGUCAGCGGUAAAAUUGCGGGGCUCAACCCCGUCGAGCCGUUGAAACUGGCAGACUCGAGUUGGCGAGAAGUACGCGGAAUGCGCGGUGUAGCGGUGAAAUGCAUAGAUAUCGCGCAGAACUCCGAUUACGAAGGCAGCGUACCGGCGCCAGACUGACGCUGAGGCACGAAAGCGUGGGGAUCGAACAGG